GACGAACGCUGGCGGCGUGCCUAAUACAUGCAAGUCGAACGCUUUUUCUUUCACCGGAGCUUGCUCCACCGAAAGAAAAAGAGUGGCGAACGGGUGAGUAACACGUGGGUAACCUGCCCAUCAGAAGGGGAUAACACUUGGAAACAGGUGCUAAUACCGUAUAACACUAUUUUCCGCAUGGAAGAAAGUUGAAAGGCGCUUUUGCGUCACUGAUGGAUGGACCCGCGGUGCAUUAGCUAGUUGGUGAGGUAACGGCUCACCAAGGCAACGAUGCAUAGCCGACCUGAGAGGGUGAUCGGCCACACUGGGACUGAGACACGGCCCAGACUCCUACGGGAGGUAGCAGUAGGGAAUCUUCGGCAAUGGACGAAAGUCUGACCGAGCAACGCCGCGUGAGUGAAGAAGGUUUUCGGAUCGUAAAACUCUGUUGUUGGAGAAGGACAAGGAUGAGAGUAAAACGUUCAUCCCUUGACGGUAUCUAACCAGAAAGCCACGGCUAACUACGUGCCAGCCGCCGCGGUAA
rnacentral:rRNA from 1 species